GUCACUUAGUAAUACUCGCACAUAACCACGCUGCAGAGUCGUCUAAAAACUACAGUGUGGACGCUGCAGCGGAAAAACUUUUAGAGAGUUCGGGGUGUAGAUGCUGUGACAGCGUCUGCCCCUCGCUCGACCACGUAGAGGCUUUGCCCACCUAGCCCAGGUGAGACGUCGCCUCGCAACGCCCCCCUGAGCUCGGGGGCUCCACGGAAACCAGGGGUUCAGACGCUGCUUGGCAACCUUCACCCCGAAGAAACCACGCAGGGGAUGUCCCGUGUAGCACAGAAGAGGCGUGGCUUUGCCACCCUUCUCGGUGCCGCGGGGCCCUGCGGAAACCAGGGGUGCGGACGCCGUUCGGAACGUGCGCCCCGAAAAAGCCACGCGGCGGAUACCUCUAGAGCUCCGGAGCCGACGCUGCUGAGCGACGGCCGGCCAGUGCCCGAGGGUGCCGCGGAACAGUGGAAAGAGAGUUACGGUGUUAUGGUGAUCAGCCGCAUAAACUGCACUCUAGACGGCCUUAAAGGGUGAAAAAACCUGUCUUCGUAGUUGCCAGUGAUGAUGGAGCAGUGUCUCACCGAUGGAGGAGUCGUGGGAUGGCUCGUAAACGUGCGGGCGCCAGGGACGCUUUGGAGGGACUAGGAAGAUGAAAUCAAAAGGAAAAAAGGAGAAAGAUCCCCCCUGCAAAUCCAGUUCCCCCCUGCAAAUCCAUGCACCGGUUCAUCUGCUCGGCUGCUGCUGCUUGACAGAGGUUCAAAGCAGAAGUAACUUCCUAGCGAAGAACCAUGGAAACUCAUCAGCUGCAGAGACGAGCAGACGGCCCAAAGAGCAGAAGAGCGAGCACGCCGAUGUGAACCGUAUCGAGACCGCAGUUGACGGCCGAACGCCUUUGAUCCCGCGCGCGAGAGCGAUGAACUUUGGGUUUCGUGUGAAAGAGUAGGAAAAUCGAUAUUGUAAGGCCUCAUUUGUUAAAGCGUGGUGUGAACUGUGUCAAGAUUCAGAAUCCUGCAUGAGAGAUAAAGUCCUUGAAGAUGAAGGUGAA